UUGAGUUCUAGUGGGGGUUUCCGCAUAUCUUGAAAAAAAAAACAAUUGGAAGCAUAUGCCCCCAUACUCAGCAUUUUGUUUGACGCAGGAUAUUCUUGGCAAUGCCAUACUCUUUCCGGCAAAAGGACGGGCACUCAUUCUGUUUCCUACCUCUGACGAUCCUCCUCAUCUUUUUUCAAAGAAGAGUCUCUAUUUUCCUCAGACAUACUUGCCUUGCAUUCCUCAUGCACUAUUGCCAAAGCUUCCGAUUUCCGACAUGUUUCAAGCUAGUAUCAUUGCUGACCUCGCGGCCGAUUUCAUGGAGAGGCAUUCUAUUUUCAUUG
rnacentral:lncRNA from 1 species